AUACUGAGUGGCAAACGGGUGAGUAUAAUGUGGGAAUCUGCCUUUUGGUCUGGAAUAACACGAGGAAACUUGUGCUAAUACCGGAUAAGCCUUCACAGGGAAAGUUUUAAUGCCAAAAGAUGAGCCCGCACUUGAUUAGCUAGUUGGUAAGGUAAUAGCUUACCAAGGCAACGAUCAAUAGCUGUUCUUAGAGGAAGACCAGCCACAUUGGGACUGAGACACGGCCCAAACUCCUACGGGAGGCAGCAGUGGGGAAUCUUGCACAAUGGGGGAAACCCUGAUGCAGCGAUGCCGCGUGAGUGAAGAAGGCCUUUGGGUUGUAAAACUCUUUCGUCGGGGAAGAAAAUGACUGUACCCGAAUAAGAAGGUCCGGCUAACUUCGUGCCAGCAGCCGCGGUAAUACGAAGGGACCUAGCGUAGUUCGGAAUUACUGGGCUUAAAGAGUUCGUAGGUGGUUAAAAAAGUUGAUGGUGAAAUCCCAAGGCUCAACCUUGGAACUGCCAUCAAAACUUUUUAGCUAGAGUAUGAUAGAGGAAAGUGGAAUUUCUAGUGUAGAGGUGAAAUUCGUAGAUAUUAGAAAGAACGUCAAAAGCGAAGGCAACUUUCUGGAUCAUUACUGACACUGAGGAACGAAAGCAUGGGUAGCGAAGAGGAUUAGAUACCCUCGUAGUCCAUGCCGUAAACGAUGUGUGCUAGACGUUGGAAACUUAGUUUUCAGUGUCGCAGCGAAAGCAUUAAGCACACCGCCUGGGGAGUACGACCGCAAGGUUAAAACUCAAAUGAAUUGACGGGGACCCGCACAAGUAGUGGAGCAUGUGGUUUAAUUCGAAGAUACGCGCAGAACCUUACCAACACUUGACAU
rnacentral:rRNA from 1 species